AAUCCUGUUCCUAAGGAUAGGCCUCACUUAGCACUCCUGCAUGGGUGGGCCUAGAACAAGAUUGGAGAUAGAGUGCUCACCAGCUGACAGCAAUAAAGACUUAAUUGCUGAUAGUGGGGAAAUUCAGCACCUAGAAAGAUUUCCUUGUUAAGUGAAUGAAGAACCCAUUCAAAAAGAUAACAUCAGAUUGCCUCAUGGGAUACUGAGCAGCCAAGGAAGCCAUUGAUGGUACUUGGUUUCCACAUGAUAAAGAAGUUUUGAAAGCUUCAUGGUUCUGUUGGAUAGCCGCAUAUAUAAAAUGGGCUUGGAGAAUGUGAAUGACCUCUUGAAGUGAGUAAGUAAAACUCAGUAUAUUACAUUAAAUAUCAUCUUCUUUUUGAUAACAGUCUUAGAGUCUACCUUUUCUCAUCAUGGAAUUUUUCUUCCUUUCCAAAGAUGCACUCUGGUAACAUUUAUUUUCUACUCAUUUUGACGUCGAGAAAAAUAAAAGAUGAAAAUAUGUCCCAAAUUCCUCCCAUAUCCCUUAAAACAUUUCACAAAAUUAAUCAUACAAAUUCAUAAUAGAAAUGAAGAUUUAUCGUGCCUCUACAAUUUAUGAAAAUGUAUCAUGUAAUUAGGCUUUUUU